rnacentral:rRNA from 1 species
UACGUAGGGUGCAAGCGUUACUCGGAAUUACUGGGCGUAAAGCGUGCGCAGGCGGUUUUGUAAGUCAGAUGUGAAAUCCCCGGGCUUAACCUGGGAACUGCGCUUGUUACUGGCAGGCUUGAGUGUGGCAGAGGGGGGUGGAAUUCCACGUGUAGCAGUGAAAUGCGUAGAGAUGUGGAGGAACACCGAUGGCGAAGGCAGCCCCCUGGGCUAACACUGACGCUCAUGCACGAAAGCGUGGGGAGCAAACAGG